UCUUCCUUAACCAAACCUAAUGUACUACCCUCUCCCCAGUCUUUACAGAUAAGGAAACCAAGGCCUAGAAGUCAACUGAUCUUCAAGAUCAAGAGUUAGCUGGUGGCAGAGGCAGGACGAGAAUGCAGGCCUCCUAGCUUGCAAUCCUGCAUUCUUUCCAGUGCUGCUGCCUGUCUGAUAUCUAUUACAGAUGAUGGUGAUAGAAAUCAUAAGGGCAUUCACCUAUUUAUAUGAUGUCAACUUGAGGCUAGGGACUGUGGUAAGUGUUUUUCAUGGAUGAUUUCAUUUAAUCUUCAGAAUUAUAAACCUACAAGGUAGAUGAGGAAACAGAGGCUCAGAGAGAUGAAGCAUCUUCUCCAUGGCCCCAUUGCAGAAUCUUCUUGGGCCAUUGCUCCCUCGGAGAGAAGCAAAUCCUUCAUAGGGAAUGCUGGAUGUGCCUGUGACAAACUAGCAACCCAAGAAAACUGAAGUCAGAAAGCUGCAGCCAGGAAAGGCAUCACAUUGUUCACGUGCAGAGCUCCUGAGGAAGAGUAGCACGCUAUUUGCUGACGGACAAUUUUGUUAGAUGAAACCUUAUAGGUAUUGAACAAUCACAACACAAGGAAUCUGACAAACAGCCAGAGAAGAAUUCUGAAAAAGGACAGUGCAUUAUAAAAGGGAUGGGGGUGUGGGGAGUUUGCAGAAGAUAAAGCGCCCAGUGCAGAUGACCAGCUCUGAACCUCGGCCCAGGCACAUUUCCCAUUAUAGACGAAUCAAGUGGAUGCCAGUUAAUCUAAGUCUACUUAAAUACAGUCUCUGAUCAACUCAAGGUGAAAAAAAAUAGAAUUUCUGGUAUGCAAGUAUGAGGACCAGUUCCUUAAUCUGAAAGAGCUAAGGCUCCAGAGGGCUUCCUCACAUCUGAUAUUUCUUUAGCUGCAACCUUCCAGCAAUUGCUCUGGGUAACCAUAAAUACCACAAGAAAACAACAAGUUAGUUUUCCCGGAUGUCCCCUUGAACGUCACUGUUAUCUCAAAAUUGUGGAAAGUUAUAGGGAGGAAAAGAAAGGGCUCCUGAUUUAUUAAGGACCUGGAUCGCUUCCACUUCUUAAGGCAAUGAACAUCACGGCUAUCUGCUACUAGGGCUGCUGGCCUGCAGGAUACCUGGGGCCUCUUGCUGAAGGGGCCAAGCUGCCCUGCAGGCAGAUAAUUGCUCCUGGGAUUCUGGGACUGGAGGUGACAAUUCCUAAUGACUCUAAUGAAAUGAUUUGACUUGACGGAGGAUGUUGUGCACAGUGACAGAGCCACACAACAUGCAAUCAGAGGAGUCGGAAAACAGUGUAUCCCGCAUAUCCAGAUAAACAUGCCCAGAACCACCGAAUUACAAUAUGAUUGUCAUGGUAUCCUAUCAAACAAAUCAUGAAAGCCUGUAUUACUUUGACUCUUCCAUCCUAAGCCACACAGAUACAUGACAAAAGACUCCUAGACAUAAAUCACCAUCUUGGAUUUUUUAAAGGUUGUCUGUAGCUCGAGACUAAAGAAUAACAAUGCAAAUAUGAUCAUGAGUGUUGGAAGUCAAACAAAGAAAACACUAAAUGAAAUCAAGAGGUCUUUCCUUUAGUGGUCACCAAAUGAAACUGGUGGGGAGAAGACCAAUGAGAUUUGGGAGUUAUCCUGCCUGGCUGUUUGCCAUUUGGCCAGUGGACCCCUUUGGGGAAGAAAUGCAUCCACAUGAAGGACACAGAACUGGAGGCUCAGUGAGUGGCUGCUGUUUGCCAUUUGUACAGUCCCAAUCAGUGCCAGAGAAAGAACUGGAAUGCAGGUCGAUGACUUGGGUCCAAUAUUCUUUUCAACUAUAUUUUACUACCCCAAAAUAGUGUUCUUCAUGUUUGAGAUUAUUUACAUGUUUUUAUACUGUAUUUUAACUUUUUUAAAAAGACUAAUUUUGUGAGUCACGUUCAUAUACUUUCCCUGUUUCUUCAUGGUUCUUAUUAUUUCUGUGAUUCUGAAAACAGCAAGCUACAGAAUGUCUCUAUAAUUAUAAUGGUUUUCUAUAUUUUUCCCCUCUCCUUUCAUUUCAGAGGGAGGAUCUACAUUAGUGGAAUGACUAUUAUAUUUAGGACACUGUUAUAAGACGGUAGCAAUUGAUUUGCUUUAGUUUUAAAAUUUUCCUCCCAUCAGUCCAAUGUCAAGAGUCAUGUGGUUUAGUUUAAUCUAAACAUUUAUUGGGCAUCAACUAUAUGCCAGAUACCCCAAUAGCUACUUGAUGAAUAGUACUCACUCAGCCACUUCUCUAGAGGAGCUAACGCUGAAGAUGGGAGACAGGCAGACAAACAGGUUUGAGCUACUCCCCCACAGAUGGUUUGCCUUCUGCUCAUCCUUGCAAAUGACUACUGAUUAAAGGACAGAAACUGUUUGCCUCACAUUUUACAAUGUCUGUAAUCUUUCAUUACAAUAACAGUGAAGAAAAAGUUCCACAGACACUAAAUAUUCAUCUCCAUUAUCAACUGCUUUCUCGCAUACCAGGAGGUCUCAAGAAAAGGCCACUGCCCACCCCUAAAAACAAAACAAAAUAAAACAGAAACAAGAAAAAAGAGAAUAAAAACUGAACCCAAAGUAAGCAGUUGAAAGUUUGCAUAAAGAAAAAUAUAAAAUGCAUCUCAUAAAACACAGGGGCCUGUGAGUCACUGAGACUAACCCACAACUAUUCUAUUAAUAAUCGGCAUUAAUACCACAAAAAUCCCAAGGCUGCAUCUGAAGUACAAUUGUUUUGAAGAAACAUGUGUUGCAACAAAUGAGAAUAAAUUUUUCAGGGGCUAGACAGGAAUAAAGGGUCACAAGCAGGAAAAACACAGUAAACGUAUUUGAAAUCAUAUUACUUCCAGAAAUCUAAACCACUAUUAAGUUUAAUAACAACAGGUUUGAGAUAGCGAAAGAUAAACAAUGACUCUGACCAAGGACAUUUUUCAAUAAAGGAAAUAAUGCAUUUUUACAUGCUAAAUAUGUAAGCCAUAAAAAAUGCUCUUACAUUCUAAGAAGAGCUUUGUAAAACGGCCGAGUGAAGAAGGCAUCCAACAAAUACUGGUGUAUUAGUGCAAGACCGAGGAUCCGACCACUGAACCUGAACCUGAGGAGGAAAAGCGUCAGACAGCUUACACGUCAUGAAACAAUUUCUAAAUGAUUCUAUUUGCUUUCUAAGAUGCCUUCCAGUUCUAGACACCUAAAAGUUUGUCCAAGAUUAAAUGCCUACCAGAUCCACGCAUUUUGAGUGUAAUGUAGGACACACAAAAUUAUGAAUUAUUAGGCCAAUAAUUCAUAUCUACUUCAUGAUGAAAUCUGUUUCACUCUGAUAAUUAGAAAGACCACACUCCACCUGCACCCUGUCCAAUGAGUAGGACCCCCCCAUGGCCAACAAGAAAGCCCCUUUAGGCAUUUCAGUGAUACUUCCCCAAAACAUUUCUAAGAGAUGUUGAAUGAAUGAGACCUGUGGUGGUGAGGAAUACGUCCCCUUCUAGUUUGCUUGUAAGGGCAUUAGCAGGAUUUCUUUUAUACAGUUCCCUUCUGAGGAAAAGCCCAAUCUCAGAUUGAGAAAGUUUCUAUCUUUAUUCUUUCUUAAACCCCCCUCCUGAUGAUAAUUGUCACCAUCCAAGAAUUAGGCAUAUGGGCAUUUGGGGGAGUUUCCUCGUGGGACAUUCUGUUCUCUAAAAUUUCAAGGCUCAAUUCUAUUCUGAAUCACUUUGGAAACUUUACUAAAUAUACCUGUAAGUCUAUUUGUUCACUGAGAUGUAUACGUAUUUUCUCUUUCAAAUGUAUUACAGUUUCACGCUCUUUGAAAGUCCAAAAGUAGAAAUCCAUACUGAGGCUCACACUGUCAGUUUGUAAUGUUAGUAUUUAGGCAGCCACUUUAAGAUUAAUGUCCUGCAGCUUGUUUCUCUAUUUCCACUUAUGUCAGCACAUAUGUAAUAGCUACAGUUAGCUACUGUAGCUAAAAGGAAGUUGAUUGAAGAAUAAGUACUAAAAGUUAAUGCCCUCCACCCACCAAUAUUAACCUCAUGACUCAAAGAAGCUUUUUCCAUGAUUCCUAUUCAUGCUCUUUUCUUUGUUACUAUCUGUGAAUAUUAAUAGGAAUAAGCAAGGAAGGAUUACAAAAAUAUUUAAAAUAUAUAAAAGCAAGGAUUUUUUUUUUUUAAUUUAAGGACAUCUGAGAAGAAAGUAAUUUGGGAUUUUCAGAAUAAAGUAUCCCCAGAUAGGAAUCCUAAAUCAGUUUCAGUUUUCCUUGAUAAUUUUGCAUGAGGAAUUAGGAAAGAGCCAAGCCCUGAUUACAAACUUCAAAUGGCUAAUACAGCGAGCGAAUGGCUGCUGCUAGGACUACCUGCUCCCACCCUUCUGCCAUCAGCUCCUCCCCAGGCCAGGCCA